rnacentral:rRNA from 1 species
GAAUGGUGUAAUGACUGGAGAACUGUCUCGGGGACCUGCUCGGUGAAAAUACAAUACCGGUGAAGAUGCCGGUUACCUGCAGUUAGACGAAAAGACCCCAGGAGCUUUACUGCAACUUGAUAUUGAGAGUACGGUUACGAUGCGUAGCAUAGGUGGGAGACUUUGAAGUGCCGAUUUUGGUCGGCAUGGAGUCGUCAGUGAAAUACCACUCUUCUAGAUUGUAUUUUCUAACCUCGACGGAAAAAACGACGAGAAACAGUAUCUGGCGGGCAGUUUUAGUGGGGCGCUAUCCUCCUAAAAAGUAACGGAGGAGUCUAUUAAGGUCAGCUAGGCGCGAAUGGAAACCGUGCCGAUAGUGUAAUGGCACAAGCUGGCUUGACUGUAAGAGGUACAUCUCAAGCAGGUGGGAAACCAGAACAUAGUGAUCCGACCAUACGCAUUAGACGCGGUGGAAGCUCAACGGAUAAAAGCUUCGACGGCGGAGUUCGGCACCUCGAUGUCGGCUCACCUUAGCGCGGCGGUGGAGAAGCUGCCAAGCGUAUGGCUGUUCGCCAUUUAAAAAGGUACGCGAGCUGGGUUCAGACCGUGUGAGACAGGUUGGUCUCCUAUCUACUGCACUCGUUGAUUCUUGAGAAGAUUUGCUCCUAGUAGGCCCGGACGAGAGGACCGGAGUGAACUGACCUCUGGUGUACGAGCUCUAUUGCCAAAUGGACUGCUCGGUAGCUAUGUCGGGAUUGGAUAACCUCUGAAAGCAUCUAAGAGGGAAGCCAGCUUCAAGAUUAGGAAUCGUUAAGAACCGUGAGAGAUGAUCACGUUGAUAGGCUUUAAGUGUAAGCACAGUAAUGUGUUGAGCUGAGAAGUACUAAUGUUUCG